CCCGGCCCGGCCCGAGGCGGUGGGGGGUGGGGUAUCUCUCCGCGGGAACGUGCGACCCCAGCCGAGUGCCCGGGUGCUGCGGGAGGCCAGCUUGCCCCGCCCCCCCCCCCCCGCCCCCGCUGUCACGUGCCCAGCGGACCCUCAGGCCCCUCACCCAGGGACCAGGGGAGGUGGGACGGCGACAGUGCCCGGAGCAGAGCUCGGCACACAUUUGGCGGCCUGGGAAGUCCAAGAUCAAGGUGCCAGCAGAUUCCGUGUGUGAUGAGUCAGCCUCCUGGUUCAUUCAGGGUCCCCCUCUCCCUGUGUUCUCGGGGCCUCCAUCCACCAGUGCUCCCCCGUCUCCACCAAACCACCUCCCAAAAGUCCUGCCCCCAAAUGCCAUCACUUCGGGAGGUGCGAUCCCAACACUUGAAUUUGGGAGGACAAGGACAAUCGGCAUUUUUUUUGCACCUGGCCGAGGCAGCACGUUAUGUUUUGGCGGAAAUAGGACACGUCACGCUAACUGGGUGCCGGUGAGCCUGGAGACCAGUGAGUGGGACAAGGGAGCCAUCAACAAAAGAAAGGAGGAUUAUUCCUGGCUGAGGACCCCUUUUCUUGAG